GAUGAACGCUGGCGGCGUGCCUAAUACAUGCAAGUCGAGCGAACGGACGAGAAGCUUGCUUCUCUGAUGUUAGCGGCGGACGGGUGAGUAACACGUGGAUAACCUACCUAUAAGACUGGGAUAACUUCGGGAAACCGGAGCUAAUACCGGAUGAUCUUUUGAACCGCAUGGUUCAAAAGUGAAAGACGGUCUUGCUGUCCCUUAUAGAUGGAUCCGCUCUGCAUUAGCUAGUUGGUAAGGUAACGGCUUACCAAGGCAACGAUGCAUAGCCGACCUGAGAGGGUGAUAGGCCACACUGGAACUGAGACACGGUCCAGACUCCUACGGGAGGCAGCAGUAGGGAAUCUUCCGCAAUGGGCGAAAGCCUGACGGAGCAACGCCGCGUGAGUGAUGAAGGUCUUCGGGUCGUAAAACUCUGUUAUUAGGGAAGAACAUAUGUGUAAGUAACUGUGCACAUCUUGACGGUACCUAAUCAGAAAGCCACGGCUAACUACGUG
rnacentral:rRNA from 1 species